UAAAGACACUAUGGGGUGACGCAGAAACACAAGGUCAGCCGGGUGUUGGAUGUCCCGGUCUAAGCCGGUAGGGGGUUUUCCCAGGUAAAUCCAGGAGAACAUUACCCCGAGAGGCGAUGGGGAGCCCGCAAGGGCACAAACUGGCCCCAAAUCCGCUGCCAAGAAAAACCUCUAUGUGAGUCCUUCGGGUGACCGUACCGUAAACGGACACACGUGGGUGGGGUGAGUAUCCUAAGGUGCUCGAGUGAGUCUUCCAGAAGGAACUCGGCAAAAUGAUCCCGUAACUUCGGAAGAAGGGAUGCCUCUAGUACGUGAGCACCCUCGCGGUGUUAGCGGAAUGAGGCCGCAGAGAAACGGCCCAAGCGACUGUUUACUAAAAACACAGGACUCUGCCAAGCCGAUGAGGCAAUGUAUAGGGUCUGACACCUGCCCGGUGCCGGAAGGUUAAAGGGCGCGGUCAGCCGCAAGGCGAAGCUGCAAACUGAAGCCCCGGUAGACGGCGGCCGUAACUAUAACGGUCCUAAGGUAGCGAAAUUCCUUGUCGGGUAAGUUCCGACCUGCACGAAUGGUGUAACGAUUUGGGCGCUGUCUCCUGGAAGAGCUCGGCGAAAUUGAAGCAGCGGUGAAGAUACCGUUUACCCGCGACUGGACAGAAAGACCCCGUGCACCUUUACUGUAGCCUGGUAUUGGAUUCUGGCCAUCCAUGUGUAGGAUAGGUGGGAGGCUUUGAAACAGGGGCGCUAGCUUCUGUGGAGCCAACCUUGAAAUACCACCCUUGGGUGUUGGAGUUCUAACCAAGGCCGUGAAUCCGGCCUUGAGACAGUGCCAGGUGGGCAGUUUGACUGGGGCGGUCGCCUCCCAAAAGGUAACGGAGGCGCUCAAAGGUUCCCUCAGCGCGGUUGGUAAUCGCGCGUAGAGUGUAAAGGCAGAAGGGAGCUUAACUGCGAGACUUACAAGUCGAGCAGGUGCGAAAGCAGGACUUAGCGAUCCGGUGGUCCCGUGUGGAAGGGCCAUCGCUUAUCGGAUAAAAGGUACGCCGGGAUAACAGGCUGAUCCUCCCCGAGAGUUCACAUCGACGGGAGGGUUUGGCACCUCGAUGUCGGCUCAUCGCAUCCUGGGGCUGGAGAAGGUCCCAAGGGUUUGGCUGUUCGCCAAUUAAAGCGGUACGUGAGCUGGGUUUAGAACGUCGUGAGACAGUUCGGUCCCUAUCCAUCGUGGGCGAAGGGGAUUUGAGGGGUGCUGUCCCUAGUACGAGAGGACUGGGACGGACGGACCUCUAGUGCGCGAGUUGUCGCGCCAGCGGCAUUGCUCGGUAGCUAUGUCCGGAUCGGAUAAACGCUGAAAGCAUAUAAGCGUGAAACCGGCCCCGAGAUGAGAUCUCCCGCGGGGUAACCCGCCUAAAGACCCCUUGAAGACUACGAGGUUGAUAGGCCGGAGGUGUACAUGUGGCAACACAUUUAGCCGACCGGUACUAAUAGGUCGUGAGGCUUGAUCGU
rnacentral:rRNA from 1 species